UGGGGAAUAUUGGACAAUGGGCGCAAGCCUGAUCCAGCAAUGCCGCGUGAGUGAUGAAGGCCUUAGGGUUGUAAAGCUCUUUUACCAGGGAUGAUAAUGACAGUACCUGGAGAAUAAGCUCCGGCUAACUCCGUGCCAGCAGCCGCGGUAAUACGGAGGGAGCUAGCGUUGUUCGGAAUUACUGGGCGUAAAGCGCACGUAGGCGGCUAUUCAAGUCGGGGGUGAAAGCCCGGGGCUCAACCCCGGAACUGCCCUCGAAACUAGGUAGCUAGAAUCUUGGAGAGGCGAGUGGAAUUCCGAGUGUAGAGGUGAAAGUCGUAGAUAUUCGGAAGAACACCAGUGGCGAAGGCGACUCGCUGGACAAGUAUUGACGCUGAGGUGCGAAAGCGUGGGGAGCAAACA
rnacentral:rRNA from 1 species